rnacentral:rRNA from 1 species
GACGAACGCUGGCGGCGUGCUUAACACAUGCAAGUCGAACGGAAAGGCUUCUUUCGGGGGGUACUCGAGUGGCGAACGGGUGAGUAACACGUGAGUAACCUGCCCUUGACUUUGGGAUAACUUCAGGAAACUGGGGCUAAUACCGGAUAGGAGCUCCUGCUGCAUGGUGGGGUUGGAAAGUUUCGGCGGUUGGGGAUGGACUCGCGGCUUAUCAGCUUGUUGGUGGGGUAGUGGCUUACCAAGGCUUUGACAGGUAGCCGGCCUGAGAGGGUGACCGGCCACAUUGGGACUGAGAUACGGCCCAGACUCCUACGGGAGGCAGCAGUGGGGAAUAUUGCACAAUGGGUGGAAGCCUGAUGCAGCAACGCCGUGUGCGGGAUGACGGCCUUCGGGUUGUAAACCGCUUUCGCUCAUGACGAAGCUUUGUGUGACGGUAGUGGGUAAAGAAGCACCGGCUAACUACGUG